GCUGAUGCGUUGUUGGGUAGGGGAGCGUUCUGUAAGCCUGUGAAGGUGGCCUGUGAGGGUUGCUGGAGGUAUCAGAAGUGCGAAUGCUGACAUAAGUAACGAUAAAGCGGGUGAAAAGCCCGCUCGCCGGAAGACCAAGGGUUCCUGUCCAACGUUAAUCGGGGCAGGGUGAGUCGACCCCUAAGGCGAGGCCGAAAGGCGUAGUCGAUGGGAAACGGGUUAAUAUUCCCGUACUUGGUGUUACUGCGAAGGGGGGACGGAGAAGGCUAUGUUGGCCGGGCGACGGUUGUCCCGGUUUAAGCGUGUAGGUGUGUGUUCCAGGUAAAUCCGGUUCACUUUAACACUGAGGCGUGAUGACGAGGCACUACGGUGCUGAAGCAACAAAUGCCCUGCUUCCAGGAAAAGCCUCUAAGCAUCAGGUAACAUCAAAUCGUACCCCAAACCGACACAGGUGGUCAGGUAGAGAAUACCAAGGCGCUUGAGAGAACUCGGGUGAAGGAACUAGGCAAAAUGGUGCCGUAACUUCGGGAGAAGGCACGCUGACAU
rnacentral:rRNA from 3 species